AAAACAUGUGCUACAUGUGUGUUGAUGGAAAGCGAUCUAUUUGCAAUUAGACUGACUGAAAGCUAUCAGAUUGUCCUUUCGAGAAAAAUAAAAGGCCAACACCAUGGUCAAAAAAGGGUUUU